GUUCCAGGGAAUCAAACUGGACUAAAAUGGCCGAUAAAAAUAAGUUGAAAAUUUCAUACUGAGACAUAGACUACCUUUCCAAGGGAUACUGAAAAGAAUCUAUGGAAAUUUUGUUGCACAGAUCAAUUCAUUUGCGAAGAGGAAUACAUGGCAUACUAGUCUAGUACAUCAAUAACGAGGAAGAAAGAAAAUCAGACAACGAAGUAUCACACAGGAUACAUCUAGAUUAAGCCUACAACAUAAACUGCAAGUACCAACGAUGUGUAAAGAGGAAAUGAGAGACGAUGUUUCGUAUCAAUAUCUUUAAUGCUGCAAAAGGAGUUAUACCAACACCACCGUUCGUUGUGGGAAAUACAAAAGGAUCGUGAGAAUAAAAGACAACCGCAAGGGUGAAGCAGUUGUAAUUUACUCUACACUGAACGGCUAAUUUUAACGCAAAUGCAGCGUAACCAUAUGCAACAUAUACUUGCUACAUCAUACGUGUACCAAUUUCACAUACCAGGCAUGUGACAUUGUGCUAUUUAAAGAGUUUACAUUGUUUACAUAAAUGAACUUUGAAACUGAUUUAUGUCGGGUUUUCAGUUACUAUUUCUUUUUAAAGUGAAUCACAACUAAGACAAUUGAAUCACCAAGUUCUAUUUCUCUUCCUUUUAGUCAUCUUUGAACCUUAGAAGAUCUGGAAACGAAGCACAAGAACAUCAUAAUUUAUAUGAAAAAUUGCAUUCAUGUGUGGACAUGUUAUGUCCUUAUUCUUCUUUAUGCACGACAUAUUACGUGUAGAAACGUUAGGUAACAGUAUCUAUGAAGUGAUUGGAACUCACCAUCAUUAUUUAAAGUGAUGCGACAUGAAGAUAUACUCAUUUCGAAAUCAAAUGGAAUUGUACACAUUAAAAAUUGUGAAAUUAUCCGAAUAUGUUUUAGUGAAUAAUUUUAAAUGUGUAAUAUAAAAUAUAAAGGGAUACAUUUGCUUCCUUGAAUUGGAUUACAGUACGGAUAUUUACAGAGGUAGGUUACCUUCUAAACAUUGAAAAUCAUACAGUCAGAUAUUUCUUUCAUUUAAACCAUAUCAGUGAUGGUAUAUUAGAAAACUAGUCUGAUCUAUUGUCAUAUACAAAUAAUUGAUUGUGUGCAUAUCUUUAUAGAAAUUGAGAAAAUAAGCGUUCCACAGCUUUUAACCCGUUUUGAUUCAAUAAAGUUUUGCCAAAAUUU